rnacentral:rRNA from 1 species
AGAGUUGAUCCUGGCUUAGGAUGAACGCUAGCGGCAGGCUUAACACAUGCAAGUCGAGGGGCAGCGGGAUGUAGCAAUACAUUGCCGGCGACCGGCGGAUGGGUGCGUAACGCGUAUGCAACCUACCUUAUACAGGGGAAUAACCUUUCGAAAGGGAGACUAACACCCCAUAGUAUUGAUUUAAGGCAUCUUAGAUUAAUUAAAUAUUUAUAGGUAUAAGAUGGGCAUGCGUAUGAUUAGCUAGUUGGUAAGGUAACGGCUUACCAAGGCGACGAUCAUUAGGGGUUCUGAGAGGAAGGUCCCCCACACUGGUACUGAGACACGGACCAGACUCCUACGGGAGGCAGCAGUGAGGAAUAUUGGUCAAUGGGCGCAAGCCUGAACCAGCCAUGCCGCGUGCAGGAAGACGGCCUUAUGGGUUGUAAACUGCUUUUACAUAAGACUAACCGUAUAUUUGCGAAUAUACCUGAAUGUAUUAUGAGAAUAAGGAUCGGCUAACUCCGUGCCAGCCGCCGC